rnacentral:rRNA from 1 species
UAACACAUGCAAGUCGAAGGAGAAGGUAAGUGCUUGCACUUACUGGAGACUGGCGGACGGGUGAGUAACGCGUAGAUAACCUGCCUAUAUCUGGGGGAUAACAUCUCGAAAGGGGUGAUAAUACCGCAUAAUGCAGCGGGGCCGCAUGGCCACAGUUGUUAAAGGUUUCGGCCGGAUAUAGAGGGGUCUGCGUACUAUUAGUUAGUUGGUAAGGUAACGGCUUACCAAGGCGAUGAUAGUUAGGGGGUCUGAGAGGAUGAUCCCCCACACUGGGACUGAGACACGGCCCAGACUCCUACGGGAGGCAGCAGUGAGGAAUCUUGCGCAAUGGGCGAAAGCCUGACGCAGCCA